GGCCAGACUCCUACGGGAGGCAGCAGUGGGGAAUAUUGGGCAAUGGGCGCAAGCCUGACCCAGCAACGCCGCGUGAAGGAAGAAGGCUUUCGGGUUGUAAACUUCUUUUCUUGGGGACGAAGAAAGUGACGGUACCCAAGGAAUAAGCCACGGCUAACUACGUGCCAGCAGCCGCGGUAAUACGGAGGAUGCGAGCGUUAUCCGGAUUUAUUGGGUUUAAAGGGUGCGCAGGCGGCACGGCAAGCCGGCGGUCAAAUCGCGGGGCUCAACCCCGCCCAGCCGUCGGAACUGCCGGGCUAGAGUGGGCGAGAAGUGCGCGGAAUGCGUGGUGUAGCGGUGAAAUGCAUAGAUAUCACGCAGAACGCCGACUGCGAAGGCAGCAUACCGGCGCCCAACUGACGCUGAGGCACGAAAGCGUGGGGAUCGAACAGGAUUAGAUACCCCGGUAAU
rnacentral:rRNA from 1 species